rnacentral:rRNA from 1 species
CCAAGACGUGCGUGCAAGUGCGGGCGCCCGCGGGCGAGCAGCGUGACGCAGCGACGGCCCGCCCGGGCUUCCGGGGCAUCACCCCGACGGCGCGGUCGCGGCCCGCCGUGGGCGCGACGCCUGGCGGAGAAUCAGGGUUCGACUCCGGAGAGCGGGCCUGCGAGACGGCCCGCACAUCCAAGGACGGCAGCAGGCGCGGAACUUGCCCAAUGCGACCGCGAGGCAGCGACGGGGAGCGCAGAGAGCGAGGCGGGCCCACACGCCCCGCCGCGGAGCCGAGGGCAAGGUCUGGUGCCAGCAGCCGCGGUAAUUCCAGCUCGGCGAGCGUCGCGUGGCGCUGCUGCAGUUAAAACGCCCGUAGUUGGCCCCCCGCCGCCGCGAGGAAGAGGGAGCGCUCGAGGCAGGCCCGCUGGACCCGCCGCGCGGGACGGCGCUGCGGGCAAGGCAAGCCGCGGCAGCCCCGAGGAGAGCGGGCGGGGGCACCGGUACCGGCCGGGGACGGGUGAAACAGGAUGAUCCCGCCGAGACCGCCGGCCGCGAAGGCGUCUGCCAAGACCGCCUCUGUCAAUCAAGGGCGAAGGUCGGGGGCUAGAAGGCGAUCAGACACCACCGUAUUCCCGACCGUAAACGGUGCCGCCCCGCGGCCGGCGCGCGUGUCCCGCCGGCCGCCCAGGGAAACCGGGAGGCUCCGGGCUCUGGGGGGAGUAUGGUCGCAAGGCUGAAACUUGAAGGCAUUGACGGAGGGGUACCACCAGACGUGGAGUCUGCGGCUCAAUCUGACCCAACGCGCGCACCUCACCAGGCCCGGACGCGCGGAGGACCGACAGCCGGGCGCGCUUUCGCGAUCGCGCGGGCGGUGGUGCAUGGCCGCUCCCAGCCCGUGGCGCGAGCCGUCUGCUCCAUUGCGACAACGAGC